rnacentral:rRNA from 1 species
GAUGAACGCUGGCGGCGUGCUUAACACAUGCAAGUCGAACGUGAGAGGUAGCAAUAUCUUGAAAGUGGCGAACGGGUGAGUAACACGUAGGUGACCUGCCUCGGAGUGGGGGAUAACAGUUAGAAAUGACUGCUAAUACCGCAUGAAUCCACGGGAUUGGGAAAUUCGGUGGAGAAAACUCUGGUGCUUCGAGAGGGGCCUGCGGUCGAUUAGCUAGUUGGCGGGGUAACGGCCCACCAAGGCGACGAUCGAUAGCUGGUCUGAGGA